GGCCAGACUCCUACGGGAGGCAGCAGUGGGGGAUAUUGCACAAUGGGGGAAACCCUGAUGCAGCGACGCCGCGUGGGUGAAGAAGCGCCUCGGCGCGUAAAGCCCUGUCAGCAGGGAAGAAAAUGACGGUACCUGAAGAAGAAGCCCCGGCUAACUACGUGCCAGCAGCCGCGGUAAUACGUAGGGGGCAAGCGUUAUCCGGAUUUACUGGGUGUAAAGGGGGCGCAGACGGCGAUGCAAGCCAGGAGUGAAAGGCCGGGGCCCAACCCCGGGACUGCAUUGGAAACUGCGAGGCUGGAGUGUCGGAGAGGCAGGCGGAAUUCCUAGUGUAGCGGUGAAAUGCGUAGAUAUUAGGAGGAACACCAGUGGCGAAGGCGGCCUGCUGGACGAUGACUGACGCUGAGGCUCGAAAGCGUGGGUAGCAAACAGGAUUAGAUACCCUAGUA
rnacentral:rRNA from 1 species